UGAUCCUUCACCAGGGCUGUUGCGCCUGUCGAAAAGUGGUGAUUACGGAGUCGUCAACGAUGAGAACCAGGAGAAGCCAUACGGGUGGCGAUCUUGAAGGUUGUGAUAGUGCAAUUGAUCGGCUGGAACCUGUGAUUGUGAGUGGUUCGAUGGACUCGGGGAAGAAGAUGGCUUGCUCUAGCCGGAAUCACGCGGCCGACGUCCUUCAAAUCGGUGUUGAGAGUGUAUCAAACCAAUAUUGGGUGUUGCUAGUGUGUGUGACGGCGGGGAAGCUUAUGGUUUUUUGUUUGCAAAUUAUUGGUGACUUGCAUUAUAUUACUUUACUUUUGGG
rnacentral:lncRNA from 1 species